rnacentral:rRNA from 1 species
UUGGACUGAUAUCAGGCAAGUA